rnacentral:rRNA from 1 species
UGGGGAAUAUUGCACAAUGGGGGAAACCCUGAUGCAGCAACGCCGCGUGAGUGAUGACGGCCUUCGGGUUGUAAAGCUCUGUCUCCAGGGACGAUAAUGACGGUGCCUGAGGAGGAAGCCACGGCUAACUACGUGCCAGCAGCCGCGGUAAUACGUAGGUGGCAAGCGUUGUCCGGAUUUACUGGGCGUAAAGGGAGCGUAGGCGGACUUUUAAGUGAGAUGUGAAAUACCCGGGCUCAACCUGGGUGCUGCAUUUCCAACUGGAAGUCUAGAGUGCAGGAGAGGAGAGUGGAAUUCCUAGUGUAGCGGUGAAAUGCGUAGAGAUUAGGAAGAACACCAGUGGCGAAGGCGACUCUCUGGACUGUAACUGACGCUGAGGCUCGAAAGCGUGGGGAGCAAACA